rnacentral:rRNA from 1 species
ACAUGCAAGUCGAGCGGCAGCGGGAAGAUAGCUUGCUAUCUUUGCCGGCGAGCGGCGGACGGGUGAGUAAUGCCUAGGGAUCUGCCCAGUCGAGGGGGAUAACAGUUGGAAACGACUGCUAAUACCGCAUACGCCCUACGGGGGAAAGGAGGGGACCUUCGGGCCUUCCGCGAUUGGAUGAACCUAGGUGGGAUUAGCUAGUUGGUGAGGUAAGGCUCACCAAGGCGACGAUCCCUAGCUGUUCUGAGAGGAUGAUCAGCCACACUGGGACUGAGACACGGCCCAGACUCCUACGGGAGGCAGCAGUGGGGAAUAUUGCACAAUGGGGGAAACCCUGAUGCAGCCAUGCCGCGUGUGUGAAGAAGGCCUUCGGGUUGUAAAGCACUUUCAGUAGGGAGGAAAGGUAAUAGCUUAAUACGCUAUUACUGUGACGUUACCUACAGAAGAAGGACCGGCUAACUCCGUGCCGCAGCCGCGGUAAUACGGAGGGUCCGAGCGUUAAUCGGAAUUACUGGGCGUAAAGCGUGCGCAGGCGGUUUGUUAAGCGAGAUGUGAAAGCCCCGGGCUCAACCUGGGAAUUGCAUUUCGAACUGGCGAACUAGAGUCUUGUAGAGGGGGGUAGAAUUCCAGGUGUAGCGGUGAAAUGCGUAGAGAUCUGGAGGAAUACCGGUGGCGAAGGCGGCCCCCUGGACAAAGACUGACGCUCAGGCACGAAAG